AUUUACCAACGUACACGCCCAUUCCUCCGCGCCUUCCGCACCCACGUGACGACUGCUCGCUACGUUUUGUUAGCC
rnacentral:sRNA from 2 species